rnacentral:rRNA from 1 species
UGGGGAAUUUUGGACAAUGGGCGCAAGCCUGAUCCAGCCAUGCCGCGUGCGGGAAGAAGGCCUUCGGGUUGUAAACCGCUUUUGUCAGGGAAGAAAUCUUCUGAGUUAAUACCUCGGGAGGACGACGGUACCUGAAGAAUAAGCACCGGCUAACUACGUGCCAGCAGCCGCGGUAAUACGUAGGGUGCAAGCGUUAAUCGGAAUUACUGGGCGUAAAGCGUGCGCAGGCGGUUUUGUAAGACAGAGGUGAAAUCCCCGGGCUCAACCUGGGAACUGCCUUUGUGACUGCAAGGCUUGAGUGCGGCAGAGGGGGAUGGAAUUCCGCGUGUAGCAGUGAAAUGCGUAGAUAUGCGGAGGAACACCGAUGGCGAAGGCAAUCCCCUGGGCCUGCACUGACGCUCAUGCACGAAAGCGUGGGGAGCAAACAGGAUUAGAUACCCUGGUAGUCCACGCCCUAAACGAUGUCAACUGGUUGUUGGGAAGGUUCCUUCUCAGUAGCGUAGCUAACGCGUGAA